rnacentral:lncRNA from 1 species
GGCAGAUCUGGGGAACUCAUCACCAAUAAGGAAUGAUGGGUGGAUUCAGAGUACCCAACACAUAACUAAGGAAUGAAGUUUUGAAGUUCAACUGUUUGUUGAUUGGGAGCUGUCUAUGCUGAAAGCAACUGUAGCUCUGGGAAUAAACCCAGCUCCACAGGCCAUGCUCAAGAGUUACCCCAUUAUAAAGCUUUUUUCACUUGUUCCCCAGGAAACACAAUCGCUCUUGGCUCCACUUCAGAGGAUGCACACGGCCCAGUGCAGGAUGAGACCGAUUUUGGCAACUGAAUGGAACACUAGAGUGUUCAGUUUUAAGGCUGAUUUAUGAAAAGACAAUGGCAAUAAAGCCAUUGAUUAAAACA